UGCACACAGACCCACUAAGUAUUCAAUUUGCAUGGACCAUUACCAGGUUUGUGCAUGGCAUUUGGGAGCUUUGCAGUUGAGAGUCUUUUGAAAAUCUGGCCCAUUAUGACAGAAAGCAUCUGUAAUUAACAGCAACUGAUCUCCCUCUGCCCAGCAUUGGUGAAAGGUGUAAAAUGCUCUGUGUGUGGUUUGAUGGAGCCCAAAGCCCCUUUGAUAGGCUGAAAGGAAGGCAAAAACAGUCUUUAAGGAUGUAAUUCACCCUUGGAUGUAGUCGUGAAUAUCAGAGUUUUGCAAGCAGAGAAAAGGACAAGAAUGGAUGUUUUCUUAGCAACUACAGUGCUGGAUCAUCACAUAUCUCAUCUGAUCUUAACACAAGUACUCUGUGAGCAACCCUCACUGAAGCAGGAUGCAGAGUCAAGCUGUUGCCAUGAAGAUUGUUUCAAGAGCUCAGAAAUCCUCCAGGAAGCCCUUUAUCACUGCUUUUCAAAGAGGCCUUUGUUCUUCUCUUCUCCUGUUUCCUGCAAAGGGAGUGGUGUCCAAUACUGGGGGACAUGGUGAGGCCAAGAAGGACCCGAGGACUCCUCUGGGACUAGGAUCUUCUAAGCUGUGAAAUCUGCCAUUCUGAUCACUAUCCUUUCUUCC
rnacentral:lncRNA from 1 species